rnacentral:rRNA from 1 species
AUUGAACGCUGGCGGCAGGCCUAACACAUGCAAGUCGAACGCGUGGCGGACGGGUGUGUAAUGUCGGGGAAACUGCCUGAUGGAGGGGGAUAACUACUGGAAACGUUAGCUAAUCCCGCAUACCAUCAGAUGUGCCCAGAUGGGAUUAGCUUGUUGGUGGGGUAAAGGCUCACCAAGGCGACGAUCCCUAGCUGGUCUGAGAGGAUGACCAGCCACAAUGGAACGGAGACACGGUCCAGACUCCUACGGGAGGCAGCAGUGGGGAAUAUUGAACAAUGGGCGCAAGCCUGCUGCAGCCAUGCCGCGUGUAUGAAGAAGGCCUUCGGGUUGUAAAGUACUUUCAGCGGGGAGGCGUUACCCGCAGAAGAAGCACCGGCUAACUCCGUGCCAGCAGCCGCGGUAAUAC